UACGUAGGGUGCGAGCGUUGUCCGGAAUUAUUGGGCGUAAAGAGCUUGUAGGUGGCUCGUCGCGUCGGGAGUGAAAACCCGCGGCUUAACCGCGGGCCUGCUUUCGAUACGGGCGGGCUAGAGUUCGGCAGGGGAGACUGGAAUUCCUGGUGUAGCGGUGGAAUGCGCAGAUAUCAGGAGGAACACCGGUGGCGAAGGCGGGUCUCUGGGCCGAUACUGACACUGAGGCGCGACAGCGUGGGGAGCAAACAGG
rnacentral:rRNA from 1 species